GAGGGGUGCUAGCGUUAUUCGGAAUCAUUGGGCGUAAAGGGUGUGUAGACGGCAAAUUAAGUCAACUGUUAAAUUCUUUGGCCUAACCAAAGAUCAGCGGUAGAUACUGGUUUGAUAGAGGAUGGAAGAGAGAAGUGGAAUUCUCGGAGUAGCGGUAAAAUGCGUAGAUCUCGAGAGGAACAUCGAUGGCGAAGGCAGCUUCUUAGUCCAUUCCUGACGUUGAUACACGAAAGCGUGGGUAGCAAACAGGGAUUAGAUACCCUGGUAGUCCACGCUGUAAACGAUGAUCACUAGACGUUUGCUUCGCUUGCGAAGUGAGUGUCGUAGCUAACGCGUUAAGUGAUCCCGCCUGAGGACUACGGUCGCAAGACUA
rnacentral:rRNA from 1 species